rnacentral:rRNA from 1 species
AGAAUCAACGCUGGCGGCGUGCCUAACACAUGCAAGUCGAACGAGAAAGUGGAGCAAUCCAUUAGUAAAGUGGCGCACGGGUGAGUAACACGUGACUAACCUACCCUUGAGUGGGGGGAUAACCUAGAGAAAUCUGGGCUAAUACCGCAUAAUACCUUCGGGUCAAAGGAGCAAUUCGCUUAAGGAGGGGGUCGCGGCCGAUUAGUUAGUUGGCGGGGUAAUGGCCCACCAAGACUAUGAUCGGUAUCCGGCCUGAGAGGGCGCACGGACACACUGGAACUGAAACACGGUCCAGACUCCUACGGGAGGCAGCAGUGGGGAAUUUGCGCAAUGGGGGAAACCCUGACGCAGCAACGCCGCGUGGAGGAUGAAGCCCCUUGGGGCGUAAACUCCUUUCGAUCGGGACGAUAAUGACGGUACCGAGAGAAGAACGCCCGGCUAACUUCGCGCCAGCAGCCGC